GAGUUAGGGUCUUCUAGGCCCGAUCUCUCAACCCUUUGUUUACUGAACUAUUGUUGCUUCGGCGGACCCGUCUUAAUUUGACCGCCGGAGGAUUGCUGCAAGGCGUCCCCUGGCCAGUGUCCGCCGAUAGCCCAAUCUCUAAAUUCUAAAUACAUCGUGUCUUAUGUCUAAGUCUAUGAUAAAUUAAAGCAAAACUUUCAACAACGGAUCUCUUGGUUCU
rnacentral:misc_RNA from 1 species